rnacentral:rRNA from 1 species
AGAGUUUGAUCCUGGCUCAGAGUGAACGCUGGCGGCGUGCUUAACACAUGCAAGUCGAACGAGAACGGAUUAUAGCUUGCUAUAAUUGUCAGCUAAGUGGCGCACGGGUGAGUAAUAUAUAGGUAACAUGCCCUUUACAAAGAAAUAACAGUUGGAAACGACUGCUAAUGUCUUAUAUGCCUUUAAUACAUAAGUAUGCAAGGGAAGGAUUUAUCGGUAAAGGAUUGGCCUGUACGGUAUCAGCUAGUUGGUGAGGUAAAAGCUCACCAAGGCAAUGACGCCUAACUGGUUUGAGAGAAUGAUCAGUCACACUGGAACUGAGACACGGUCCAGACUCCUACGGGAGGCAGCAGUGGGGAAUAUUGCACAAUGGGGGAAACCCUGAUGCACCAACGCCGCGUGGAGGAUGACACAUUUCGGUGCGUAAACUCCUUUUAUAUAGGAAGAUUAUGACGGUACUAUAUGAAUAAGCGCCGGCUAACUCCGUGCCAGCAGCCGCGGUAAUACGGAGGGCGCAAGCGUUACUCGGAAUCACUGGGCGUAAAGAGCGUGUAGGCGGGUUAAUAAGUUGGAUGUGAAAUCCUAUGGCUCAACCAUAGAACUGCAUCCAAAACUGUUAACCUAGAGUAUGGGAGAGGUAGAUGGAAUUUCUGGUGUAGGGGUAA